CCUACGGGUGGCUGCAGUGAGGAAUAUUGCGCAAUGGGGGCAACCCUGACGCAGCGACGCCGCGUGGAUGAUGAAGGCCUUCGGGUCGUAAAAUCCUGUCAGAUGGAAAGAAAUGUAUAGCGGUUAAUACCUGUUAUAUUUGACGGUACCAUCAAAGGAAGCACCGGCUAACUCCGUGCCAGCAGCCGCGGUAAUACGGAGGGUGCAAGCGUUGUUCGGAAUUACUGGGCGUAAAGCGCGCGUAGGCGGUUUGCUAAGUCAGAUGUGAAAGCCCACGGCUUAACCGUGGACGUGCAUUUGAAACUGGCAGACUUGAGUACUGGAGGGGGUAGUGGAAUUCCCGGUGUAGAGGUGAAAUUCGUAGAUAUCGGGAGGAAUACCGGUGGCGAAGGCGACUACCUGGCCAGAUACUGACGCUGAGGCGCGAAAGCGUGGGGAGCAAACAGGAUUAGAUACCCGUGUAGUC
rnacentral:rRNA from 1 species